rnacentral:lncRNA from 1 species
GUAGCCCGGAGGGAAAGGGCAGAAUCCUUCACUCCCAAAGGCUUGGUGCCCUGUUGCGAGAGGGAACGGGCUGACGGGAGUAUUUCUCUUCCUAAGGCUGGCAAAUUCUCAGCCCCUACACUGACCCUUGCAAGUUCCUUCGCCAUCAUUUCGUGGGUGUUGCUUUAUGUUUGCAUUUGGACUUGACUCAUUUUCCCCCCUUUCAUGGCCCUGUAUUGUUCCUCCUUUCGGAAGAUAGUAAUUGCAUAGCUGCUUUACUGGACCCCUCCAAGCCGGCAGGGUUCAUUAGAGAUUUCUAGAUUAAGAGCCGUGACGCUGGACCUCAGGUCCUGGAGGUCCCGGAGGACAGUCCAGUGAAGGGUCACUGCAGCCUGGGGCUCUAAGUAGCCCAGAGCAGACACCAAGGCAGGCCCUGUUCUGAUGCUCUGGGAGCACUAACUUACGCCAUCCUCAUGGUGACUUUGGGAGGGAGGUGCCAUUAUUACACCAUUUGACAGAAGGUGAAGCUGGGGCCCAGAGAGGGUAAGCAACUUGCUUAAGAUGACUCAUGAAGUCCAUGGCUGAGCCAGGAUUUGAACCCUGGCAGCAUGGCACCACCACAGCCUGUGCACAACCUCUAAAUUUCCCUGACUUUCUGGAACAGACAGCGAGCCUGGUAGUAUUCCAGGAGGAAUCUCAAACCCUCAUUCUUUGUGAAGUCCAUGUGACCAUCAAAUCAGGAGGCUGUUUCUCUGUGGGCAGUUCUGAGAAUCAAGAUUGUUCAUCUCUGCAUGUGUUGUACCCCUGAAGGAAUGGGAUCGUGAGUAACAUGCAUCCUUCCCACCAAGCAGCGCAUUGGAGUUGAUAGCUAAGUGUCCGUGCAUUAGUCAGCUUGCCCUUAGCUAGAGCUCUGGUAUCACACGGUGGUAAGCUGGACACAUAAUUAAAAGUUUGGAAAUACAGUUAAGCAUAAAUUUACUUACAACCCUACCAUCCAGAGGUAACUGCUGUUAGUAUUUUAAUAUAUUUCAUUUUAACCUUCUUUGAUCUAUGUCUCUGUUUACUUGAUUUGUAACAUUCUAUGUGCAAAGUUUUGCCCCCCAUGCUUCCCCAUGCCAUUAAACAUUUUGAAAAUAUAAUUUAAGUGACUGUACUAUUCCAUCAUAUUGAUAAGCCG